GUCAGAGUUAGGCUUGGGUGGGCAUUUUAGAUAACUAGUUUAGAGAGGAGGGUGGGAAUUUUUCGUGAACAAAAUGUGCAGACUGUAAGUAGCAUUCCUUUGCUUUCUCUUGGUCUCCUGGGGGCGGGGUUUGAGUCCUGGGGUCCCCUGCACAGCCUUAGCUCUCUGGAAAUUGACCCGGCCAGUCUUCUCCAGAGAACUCAGCUCCUCCACACUCUUUCCCUGCCUUCCCCUUUUCUCUCCCCUCUCAUCAUUUACAUUUACUAGGACAUUCAUAGCCCACUUUCCUCCCAGGAGCUCAAGGUGGCCUUCAUGGUUCUCCCUGCCACCAAUUGUCAUCUUCACAGCAGGCCUGCAAAGUAGGCUAGGCUGGCCCAAGGUCCACCAGGGAGCUUCAUGGCUGAGUGGGGAUUCAAACCCUGCUCUCCCAGGUCCUCCUAGUCCAGUUCUCCAACCGCUACACCUCUGCCUGGCUCCAUUUUGCAUCUCUCCAACUGCCCUACGACAUCGGCCUUCUCCCCCUUCCUGGGGGUCUCUCUGGCUCCAUGGAAGAUUCCACCAUCUUCCUCAUGUUCUGCUCCUCUUCUGGGACACCUUGAUGCUUGGAGGACCCUCCUAUGGGUCUCCUCCCUCUCCAGGAAGGGCAGGGCUGUCCUAAGACGAGGCAGAGCAGCCCUUUAACAGCUGGCAAUGCUUCUCUUUCCUUUGGGCUGGAGCUCUUGAACCCAUAGCACUUGGGGCCUCCUUUCUCUCUCUGCCAGCCCUUCAUGCUCUGGGCUGCCUCUUUCCAGCUCUGGCGAUGCCCUUUCAGGUCACUGAACUGCAGAGAGAUGGAAAGAAUUGGGCCAAACGCCCCUCCUCACACACAAACGCCCCCCAAGAAUUGGGGCUGCCAGCUUCUGAGUUGCUCUCUCUGCUCCUCUCUUCUAAGUUAAGGUGCUUAAGAUGCCUGAUCAGCCACAGCAACAGCCCUGCAAGGCCCGAAGCAGCCCAUGGCGUCAGGUGAGCCAGUGUCCCUCCUUUUUGGGACAGAGGAGGGCAGGAAUGGGCUAGGGGGGCAGCUAGUCAAAAGAUACACAGAGCCAGAUGGCUGGAUCCAACCCAAGGUCCAUCUGGGCCAGCAUUUGGAAACCCAACCCCCGCCCCCCGGGACCACCCCAUUUUGUGGGGUCCAAUGGAGGAAGCAGGGGGCUGGGCUGUGGGGCAAGGCGGGACAGUUGUCAGCGAGAGGGGCGCCUUCCCUGGGGAGCCAUGUUCUGCGGGGCAGGAGGCUAGGAUUGGUCCCCAAGGCCUGGGGUGUCGCUCCCCUGUAGUAGAACUUGGAAUCCAGGAGAAAACUCUUGGAAUAGCCUUGCCAGGGGCUCAGGGACGAACUCACCUGUCCCCAUGUCCUUCUCUUUGCAGAUGUGCUGGGGUUACACAUCCCUUCCCUAGCGGUGAGCAGUGAGUGAGAGCAAGGAUCCCUUAGACCUGCCUCCCGCUGCCUGGGUUCUUUGUGCUGCCCUUCCACCUCUGCCCAGGAGGCUGCGGGGCCCAGGGUGGUCCUCUGGGGCCAGGGCCAGAUUUACGUAUAGGCUAAGUAGGCUGAGGCCUAGGGCCUCUAAAUCUGGGGGGCCUUGCUAGUCCGCCCUGUCCCCAGCGCUGCUGUCUCCCCUCUCCCAAAAUUGCAAACCCAAGACUUCAUGAAAGGGCAGGGCAAUUUGGGCCUCUAAAUCUAGGGGGCCUUGCCAGCCUGCCCGCUCCCCAGCACUGCAGUGUCCCGUCUCCCAAAAUUGCAAACCCAAGACUUAUGCGAGGGCAGGGCAACUCAGGCCCAGCAAACUAUGAGGCUCAGGGCUAGCCAGUGGGGCCCAAUUUGAAGCUCUGGGGCCCAAAUUGGAAUAUUAGAGAUAUAAAUAAAAUCCAUCUAGAUUGCCCUGGUGUGGGGGCCCACGUAGGAGUGGCUCACGGGGCCCAGUUUGGCCAAAUUGCUCCAAUUGCCUUAAGGCCAGCCCUAAGGAGACCAUGCAGGGGUUGGGCUGACAAGCCCUGCAGCUUCUCGGUCCCUGGUGUCACUAUUCAGAGUACAGACUCAAUGACUUGUUAUGGAAAUAAAGGGGGGCACUUAUUAGAAAUUAGUUUUGUCACCUCUCAACACCUCUCCUCCCUCAAAACCCCAGGAUGAUGAGACUUUGCACUGUUGACUGUCCAGAACUACUUGUAAAGGCAGGAGGCCAGAAUGCAGGUUGGUAACUGGACCUCAUCCUGACUCUGACGUUAAUGGGAAGGGGGAGACCAGGCUCCAAGCUAACAAUCUUUUGCAGAAAAUGGAAGAACUGGAAUUUGUGUUUAUGCUGCAUUUUUGGACCUGUGUGCUAGGUCAUUUUCACAAGGUCAGCGAAGCCCUUCAAAAAUCAGACCUGUUAUUGAGUUCUUGUGCAAGUUUGUACAGUUCACUUCUGGAUUUUUAAAGGAAAAUUAGAGAUGAUUUUGAAGAGCUUGAGAAACAAGCAAAAGCCACCUUGCCAAAUGUCAACUACAAAACAAGGAGACAAAGAGUGAGGGAACGGCAAAGAAAUGACAGAAGUGCACCUGGUGCCUUAGAUGCGCUUUCUUCAAGAGAUAAGUUUAGGAUACAACCUGUUGAUGGAAGCCUACCCAGAAGAUAUUGACCUGAAACUUACUGAUGAACUUUUGCACUAUCACCUGUAUGUGAGACAAAGCCAUAGGCUUAGAGCAGAGCACUCUCUGUCUCAUAAAGACCUUUAUCAAAUUAUAUACAAGGAAAAAAAUCAGAUGGCCUUUCCUAAUGUGGAUGUAAUCUUGCAGCUAUUUCUUAGCCUUAUGGUCACUAACUACUCAGGAGAGAGGAGUUUUUCAAGACUCAAAAGAAAAAUGAAUUAAGGCCCAUGAAUUAAGUUAUUAGAGAAAAAUUGGAAUUAGGAGUCACAUUGAUAAGAGGAAUUAAGGUAAUUUAUACAGAUCAAACUGCAAACCUGAUUGUAAAUAAUGCCAUUACAGGAAAAAUGUAAGAGGGACGAGGCAAGGAUGCCCCCUAUGUCAUGGCUGAAGCAGCAUUUGAAGUAGAAACUUCCUUAAUGCUGUUGGCUAUACCAGAUUGGAAAACAACAGAUCUCUGCCUGCAAGGUGCUUACUAAGUGUGACAAGUUUAAGAGAUGUGGGGGAGGAAUUAGGAAAGCUGUGGUUCAAAUCUCUGCUCUACCAUGAACAGCCCAAGUUGCAUUAAGCAAGGAGCUCAAAUGACAUAUGUAGCUCUCCUCCUCCCCAUUUUAUCCUCACAACAACCCUGUGCAGUAGGUUAUGCAUUCCUGUGCAUGCUUGGAUACGACAUACCAGUACUCAUUUUAUAUUAUUUAUUUAUUGUAUGCAUGGUACCUUUAUUGUGUAUUUAUUUCAUAUUCACAUGUAUUAAUGUGGCUCACACUUUGGGGGGCUUUGGGUGGUGUAUAAAUAAAAAAUCAUACCAUAUCAUGCCAUGUGUGUUGCUGUGUGCAUAGGAUAUGUUGCUGCAUGUUGCCGUGAAUGUUGGCAUGGGGUGCUGCUGCGAAGUCUUCUGCACACAUUUGUGUUUGUGUGUGUCAGAGAGAUGGAAAGGGGAGGAGGAGCUAUCAAGACUUCAGCUGAUCAGCUGUCUCUCUGGUUUGACUUACUCUGUUCCCUUGCCCUGCAAGGGAAGAUGUUUAGGACCGAAGGACAAGAGGAAAGUGUGGCUACAUGGAGGCAGGUCCACACCAUACACAUAAAAUACAUCCAAAUCACAUUUAAGGCACAUGAUACCCCCUCCCCCCCAAGUCCUAGGAAUUGCAGUUUGUUAAGGAUGCUUUUGAACUAUGGUGCUGGAAGAGACUCUUGAGAGUCCCAUGGACUGCAAGAAGAUCAAACCUAUCCAUUCUGAAGGAAAUCAGCCCUGAGUGCUCACUGGAAGGACAGAUCCUGAAGCUGAGGCUACAAUACUUUGGCCACCUCAUGAGAAGAGAAGACUCCCUGGAAAAGACCCUGGUGUUGGGAAGAUGGAGGGUACAAGGAGAAGGGGACGACAGAGGACAAGAUGGUUGGACAGUGUUCUCAAAGCUACUAACAUGAGUUUGACCAAACUGUGGGAGGCAGUGGAAGACAGAAGUGCCUGGCGUGCUCUGGUCCAUGGGGUCAUAAAGAGUUGGACACAACUAAAUGACUAAAUAACAAGGACGCUUGGAAUUGUAGCUUUGUGAGGGGGAAACUUCAGUUCUCAGGAUCUUUUGGGGGAAGUAAUGUGCUUUAAAUGCACUUUGUGUUUUAAAUACCGCUAUAUGGUUUGGAUCUGACAUAAAAGUUGUAAAGCAGCACAAUAUGAGACUGUGGAACAUGUUUUCUGCUUACACAGUGUAAAAGUUAAGCCAGGCCCCUGAAGUUUUACAAUUCCCAUGCUUUUUGUUGCAUGCAUAAAUAUAUGCCAUAACUCUUCACUUAAACAUAAGGUUUCAACGUUCCUAGAAUAACUGAUUCCUAAUAGUGAAUGCUAUCUAAACUUCAGUUUUUGUUUUUUUAUGUAUAAUGAUUUGUAUUCUACCGUCAAGUCUGAGAAGUGGAAAUAAAGGAUGAAAAGCCAUGCCUGCCUGCCGAUUCCGAAUCAGACAGUAAUAAAUCACAGUAACAUGUCAGAGAGGUUCUGUGACUUGAAAACAUGGGUUGUGACACCAUAUUCACUUGUCUGUGUGCCGUAAGUUAUGAGAUACGAGGUCAGAAAAGUGACACUGGAUUUGUAGUUCCAGUUUACUCUGCCAAAGAUUAUCCCUUCAACAGGGAUUUUAACAGAAACCCAAUGUACAACGUGUUUGCUGCAACUGGCUGUGUGACUACAAGCCUUACUGGUCUGGAAAGGAUUCCCACAACUAAAAGUGUACUUUCCCUUUUUGCUCUAUGGAGAUGCCUGCAUAUUAAGUGCCUUAGAAUGCCAUCAUCCAUCCUUUCCAAGUCUCAGGCUGGUAGAAACCCCAAAUUGUGCUGGGUUUUGUGAUGUCCAGCCCCACUUCAGCUUGGAUGUGUUGAGAAUUGACCAGCACAACUGUAAAUAAAUCAUAGAAUCGUAGAGUUGGAAGGGAGCUUGAGGAUCAUCUAGCCCAUGGGUAGGCAAACUAAGGCCAGGGGGCCGGAUGUGGCCCAAUCGCCUUCUAAAUCCAGCCCACGGACGGUCCAGGAAUCUGUGUGUUUUUACAUAAGUAGAAUGUGUGCUUUUAUUUAAAAUGCAUCUCUGGGUUAUUUGUGGGGCAUAGUAAUUCGUUAAUUUCCCCCAAAAUAUAUAUAUAUUCCGCCCCCCCCCACAAGAUCUGAGGGACCGUGGACCGGCCCCCUGCUGAAAAAGUUUGCUGACCCCUGAUUCUAAUCCAACCCCCUGCAAUGCAGGAAUAUACAGCUGUCCCAUAUAGGGAUUGAGCCUGCAACUUUGGCGUAAACAGCACCAUGCUCUAACCAACUGAAAUGAGUGCUAAUAACUUCCCUUCUUUUUAGAAAUGAAAAUUAGAGAGAGGUGAUUCUCAAACAAAGAAGAUGAGCUGAGGGAAUGUCUCACACUGGAAUAGGACUAAGAGUGACUGCACACAGUCUUGAUUUGGCCUGAGGACUGGAGCAGUAAAAGGGAAGAGACAAAGCUUAACCCUGAACUUGCUCAAACCAAAACAGCGCAGCCCAGCCCAGGCAUUUGUAUACAGGAAAUCACUCACAUGAUCUGCUUCAGCCUUUCCUGUGUUUGAAUGAAACCGGAAGAGCAGGGAUAAUAGCUCGUUUUCCCACAAUUCCCUCCUUGAUGAUUGCCCCAUCAAUGCCCCAAGGCCACAGGUUCAAGGUCUGCUGUGAGCUCUGUGCUAUUUUCCAAAAAGCUAUCAGAAAAGCUUGAGUCAAUGAAGCACAAUCCUGCUGGAAACAUCAACCCAGAAAUUCUGCCCCCAAAAGCUUAGGAACCUGGCAAGCAGAGGAGGAGACAGGGAAUUACUGCUUGAUCAGUUUCAGAGAAUAAGAAAUGUCAAAUCCUAGAUGUGUGAUCUCUCUUGACACAUCUUCACUAUGCUUAGAAGCAUUAGAGGUUCCCAUAAAUUAUUUUCCCUACCCCGUGUAAUCACCAAUUGUUAUUUUUAAAAUGUUCUAGGUCUGGGUUUAUGCUCAAUUUUUCCCUAUUCCUUUCAGUAUUUGAUUGUAAGCCUGCAGUCGUCGUCGUCUUCUUCUUCUUCUUCUUCUUCUUCUUCUUCUUCUUCUUCUUCUUCUUCUUUUAAGAAAUUCUGACAAAAUCAGACAAUGCAGAACAGAACAUAGGGUUUCUAUAUUUCAAAAAAUAAAAUUCCUGACACCCACAAAGUUAAAAUAGUGAUUUUAAGUUUCCGUUGCUUUUUUGAUCGCAUUGCCAUACAUCUGGGUUUUCCGUGACAUUUUGCCGAUCCCACCCCCGACGCCAUUUUUACACCCCCAAACCAGGACAUGUCAGGAAUUUACCUGACGUACGGCAAGCCUACCUAAACAAAACAUAAGCAUAAAAGUUACAUAUAGCUACAACCAUUGGUUAAAUCUCUGUUCUUCUUUACUUAUGACUGGAAUCCUCUUUUUGGGGGUCUGUGGUAUCACUUUAUGUGAUUCCACAGAAGGUCAUGCAUGGCUAGUGGUUGCCAUUGAUGUUGGUUUUGUGCUACGUAUUUAAUAAAGAGAUGCCAUGUUGCUUGUAACUUUUCUUCUGUCUUUUUUAAUUUGUUCGUUUUUUGCCUUUUGUGUUAUUUCCCCAUCAAUACAAUUGCCCAAGUUUGCUGGAAGCAUUCAAAUAGCAAGUUGUCUCUCAAAUCCAGGGGUCAGCAAACGUUUUCAGCAGGGGGCCAGUCCACUGUCCCUCAGACCUUGUGGGGGGCAGGACUAUAUUUUGAAAAAAUAUAUGAACGAAUUCCUAUGCCCCACGAAUAACCCAGAGAUGCAUUUUAAAUAAAAGCACACAUUCUACUCAUGUAAAAACAUGCUGAUUCCCGGACCGUCUGCGGGCCGGAUUGAGAAGGCGAUUGGGCCAAAUCCGGCCCCCGGAGCUCAGUUUGCCCACCCAUGCUCAAAUCUUGCUACCUUCAAGCUGAAAUACUCCAGAUAGUAAAAUUUUUAAUAUCCUUAUUUUUUAAUCACCCCCCAACUUUUUAUCAUUUUUUUGUAAUAUACAAAAAUAGAUAGGCACUGGAAAAAAGGGAAAUAACAAAGGGGGCAGGGUGUGUAAUAUACAGUGUUACAGUAUGAAAUAACAACAGCAAACAAUACCAAUCAUAUAUCAGAUGGUAUUGAAAUACCCCAACCAUAAUGUUUUAUAUUUUGACUUCCCUCAUCAAAUAUGGGUAGCAAUGCUAUCCUGGAAUUUCGGUCUAGUUUCUGACCCAUGGUAAGUCCCAUUUCAUAAAAUAUUUUUUUCUAUAAUUUCUGUAUCUUCUCACAGGACCACAACAUACGGAAUUUGGAAAUUGACUCCGCAGCCUCUCCAGCAUAGUAGGCUAUCAGUACUUGAUAUUCUGCUAAGACUGUGGGGAGCCAGGUACCGUCUAUGAAUUAAUU